rnacentral:sRNA from 1 species
GAAUGUGAUGGUGAUCUGGUUCUGACAGGAUUGAUUCAGCUGAUCUGGAUGGCCAGGCAGAUCAGCUAUCCCUUUCCUCUCUCAACGUUCCAUGUGGAUCCUUCUCAAAACUUCCCCAGACAGAAGAGGAAUGGUCUUCAGUGAAGGAUAGAGAAGUAACCUAGCUCCCCUACUGUAACCUCCAAACAAAUCUUCAGGCUCUUUUUACAAUUUAUUCCUCUCACAGGAUCUUACUGCAGGUCCAAUUCUCUAUACAGUACUAUGUGUCUUGCUU